UACAGCCACAUCAUGUUUAAACACAGUUUCCCGUAAGAUCACGAUAGGUAAGCAAACUCAAGCCUGGUCAGUACCUAGAUGGGUGACCGCUUGGAAAUAUCAGGUGCUGUAAG